rnacentral:rRNA from 1 species
ACGGCUCAGUAACACGUGGCUAAUCUGCCCUUGGGACUAGAACAACCCCGGGAAACUGGGGGCUAACUCUAGAUAGGUGAAGAACUCUGGAAUGAGUCUUUGCCUAAAUAGGUUCACGUUAUCCUCGUGAACUUGCCCAAGGAUGAGGCCGCGACCGAUCAGGUUGUUGGCGAGGUAAUGGCUCACCAAGCCUUUUACCGGUGCGGGCCGUGGGAGCGGGAGCCCGGAGAUGGGUACUGAGACAAGGACCCAGGCCCUACGGGGCGCAGCAGUUGCGAAACCUUUGCAAUACACGAAAGUGUGACAGGGCUAUCCCGAGUGCCAUCCGCUGAGGAAGGCUUUUACCCAGUCUAGAACGCUGGGGGAAUAAGGAGAGGGCAAGUCUGGUGUCAGCCGCCGCGGUAAUACCAGCUCUCCGAGUGGUGUGGAUGUUUAUUGGGCCUAAAGCAUCCGUAGCUGGCUAGGUAAGUCCCUUGUUAAAUCCACCGAAUUAAUCGUUGGAUCGCGGGGGAUACUGCUUGGCUAGGGGACGAGAGAGGCAGACGGUAUUCUCGGGGUAGGGGUGAAGUCCUAUAAUCCCGGGAAGACCACCAGUGGCGAAGGCUGUCUGCUAGAACGCGCCCGACGGUGAGGGAUGAAAGCUGGGGGAGCGAACCGGAUUAGAUACCCGGGUAGUCCCAGCUGUAAACGAUGCAGACUAGGUGUUUGAACGGCCACGUGCCGUUCUAGUGCCGCAGGGAAGCUGUUAAGUCUGCCGCCUGGGGAGUACGAUCGCAAGAUUGAAACUUAAAGGAAUUGGCGGGGGAGCAC